GGGAAUAUUGCACAAUGGGCGAAAGCCUGAUGCAGCAACGCCGCGUGAGUGAUGAAGGUCUUCGGAUUGUAAAGCUCUGUCUUUUGGGACGAUAAUGACGGUACCAAAGGAGGAAGCCACGGCUAACUACGUGCCAGCAGCCGCGGUAAUACGUAGGUGGCGAGCGUUGUCCGGAUUUACUGGGCGUAAAGGGUGCGUAGGCGGAUGUUUAAGUGAGAUGUGAAAUACCCGGGCUUAACUUGGGUGCUGCAUUUCAAACUGGAUAUCUAGAGUGCAGGAGAGGAGAAUGGAAUUCCUAGUGCAGCGGUGAAAUGCGUAGAGAUUAGGAAGAACACCAGUGGCGAAGGCGAUUCUCUGGACUGUAACUGACGCUGAGGCACGAAAGCGUGGGUAGCAAACAGGAUUAGAUACCCUGGUAGUCCACGCCGUAAACGAUGAGUACUAGGUGUAGGAGGUAUCGACCCCUUCUGUGCCGCAGUAAACACAUUAAGUACUCCGCCUGGGAAGUACGAUCGCAAGAUUAAA
rnacentral:rRNA from 1 species